rnacentral:rRNA from 1 species
GACGUAGGGGGGCGAGCGUUGUCCGGAUUCAUUGGGCGUAAAGCGCGCGUAGGCGGUUCGGAAAGUCGGAUGUGAAAACCCGGAGCUCAACUCCGGGCCGUGCAUCCGAUACUCCCGGACUAGAGGUAGGUAGGGGAGAUCGGAAUUCCGUGGUGUAGCGGUGAAAUGCGCAGAUAUCAGGAGGAACACCGGUGGCGAAGGCGGACUCGUGGGCCUUACCUGACGCUCAGGCGCGAAGCUAGGGGAGCGAACAGG